AAUAGAAGUGACCCUAUUACCUGGUGUCCAGGUCCUCCUCCAUGGCCCUCCCUCUUGACCCUCCGUGGUCAGUCCAGGCCCGAUCUCCAUGCUACCCCUUACACCCAGCUGGGAGUUUUUAAAAAUCUCGGGGACUCUGCCUGCACCGGGCCAGUUUUAUCAGCAUCUCUAGGUAUGGGACUCAGGCUUCAGGAAUUUUUAAAGCUGUCCAUGUGAUUCCACUCUGCAGUCCCAGCUCAGAAUUCUGCUCCAGGAUCUCUGCAGACCUUGGGAAGAAGGGCUGAAGGAAGCCUUGCCCAGCAUUGUGCUCUGGGGGUCCAGUGACCGGGCAGCACGUCUGGGGGCUCACCUCCAUCCCCCCUCACCUAACAACACUCUGUGCCGGGGUGCCUGGCCCACAUCUACAAAUGGGUCCACGGAGCAUGCCCCAGGAAACAGCAGUUGCUUCAGCUUGGGUGCUGAGUGAAGAGUCCUGUGAAGCCAGCUGGAAGUCUCUCUAUAGCCUGGAGCAGAACUGCAGCUCACCCAUCUGCCCUCAUGCACGUGACCAAGAGAUAACCUGGCGAUUAAAUAGGAUCCACCGAAUGUGGCAUUUGACUUGCCAUUUCUUACGAAGAAAUUGGCUGUGA
rnacentral:lncRNA from 1 species